rnacentral:hammerhead_ribozyme from 1 species
AUCCAGCUGGCGAGACCCAAAUAGGACGAAACACGCGUCCUGGAU